rnacentral:lncRNA from 1 species
CUCAUUGAUGAGGUUAGCGCUCUCAGGAUCCAUUUACCUCUCAACUAGCCAGGGACCUUUGGAGGUGCAUUUUGUACCAAACUAUAACACCUUCAAUGAAGGCACUAGCACGAAUCCCCACAGCCAAGGAGGCUGAAGCUCAGGGAAGUGGAGCAGCUGCCCCGAUCUUGGCCGCUGUGCAGCGGAUCUAGGGCUUGUGUCCAAGAGUCAGGUUCCAGGGCCUAAGGUCUUCACCACUGCUCUCUGGACUCCUGACCAGCAGGAGGAAGACUGCUAAAUGAGGUAACAAAACAAAGGAGGGGAAGCAGAUGACUAGGAUGUCCCUGUGUCCUUGCCACCAGGUACUGGAAUGCCAGUAGAGCCCUAAGAUCGUCUUCUCUCUGCAGGACUCUGAGAAUAGUGGGGACAGUGGGUAUCCAAGCGAGAAGCGAAGUGACCUGGAUGAUCCUGAGCCCCGAGAACACGGCCACUCCAAUGGCAACCGAAGGCCUGAAUCUGAUGAGGACAGCCUGGGCAGCUCUGGACGGGUAUGCAUACGUAGGAACAGGCCCGCCUCUUCCGGCUCUUCUCCUGCCCUGCCUUCCUUCUGACACACUGCCUGCCCCUUCACCUCAUGCACGUCCAUUUUACAAAGGGCAGGCUGGAGGCCGUGUCCUGAGCAGGGUACCAAGGGAUUCCUGGGAAGGGGAAAGAUGAUGGUCUUGGGAGAAAGUAACAGGACAGCUCAGGUGUUAGAGCGCCUGACAGGAAGGCCUCAGCUUUGCUGCUCUCUCCUCGCCACGGCCCAGGGAUCUUUGCCAAGUUGUUCAUCACAUCGUUCGUAUAAGAAACCCGGAGUCCUGGGCGACUUUCCUCAGGUUACCCUGCCACUCCAGGAUGUGCUCCUUAUCCGAAAUGCCUGAGCUGCGGAAUGUCUUGGAUUUCUGAUUAGUUUUCAGUGCUUCAUGUGUGUACAUUUGUGUGUGAAUGCAUGUGUGUGUAUGUGUGUGUUAUGCAGGUUUUGUGUGUUGGUAUAUAUAUGGAACCCAAGGUUGAUACUGGAAAUCAUUCUUUAUUACCCUUACACUGUAUUCUUCAAGGGAGGGUCUCUCAAUCAAACCCAGAGCUCACUGAUCCGGUUAGUCUUACUAGUCAUACUGCUCUGGGGAUCAAGCCUCUAGCUUUUCAAGGGGCUGUAAUUAUUGGCAGGCUGUCGCUCCUACCAGGCUUCUGAGUAGGAGAUCGCUCCUUACACUUGUACAGCAAAUACUCUAGCCACUGAACAAUCUUUCCAACGUCAGAUUUUAGAUUAAAAAAAAAAAAC